UAUGGUCAUAUCACGUUGAAAUACCAGUUCUCAUAUGAUCACUGAAACUAAGCAACAUUGAGCUUGGUCAGGUACCUAGAUGGGUAACUGCUUGAGAAUACCAGGUGCUGUAAG